CUACGGGCGGCUGCAGUGGGGAAUCUUAGACAAUGGGCGCAAGCCUGAUCUAGCCAUGCCGCGUGAGUGAUGAAGGCCUUAGGGUCGUAAAGCUCUUUCGCUGGGGAAGAUAAUGACGGUACCCAGUAAAGAAACCCCGGCUAACUCCGUGCCAGCAGCCGCGGUAAUACGGAGGGGGUUAGCGUUGUUCGGAAUUACUGGGCGUAAAGCGCGCGUAGGCGGACUGUUAAGUCGGGGGUGAAAUCCCGGGGCUCAACCCCGGAACGGCCUUCGAUACUGGCAGUCUGGAGUUCGAGAGAGGUGAGUGGAAUUCCGAGUGUAGAGGUGAAAUUCGUAGAUAUUCGGAGGAACACCAGUGGCGAAGGCGGCUCACUGGCUCGAUACUGACGCUGAGGUGCGAAAGUGUGGGGAGCAAACAGGAUUAGAUACCCUGGUAGUC
rnacentral:rRNA from 1 species